rnacentral:rRNA from 1 species
GAAUUAUUGGGCGUAAAGAGCUUGUAGGCGGCUUGUCGCGUCUGCUGUGAAAACCCGGGGCUUAACCCCGGGCUUGCAGUGGGUACGGGCAGGCUAGAGUGUGGUAGGGGAGACUGGAAUUCCUGGUGUAGCGGUGGAAUGCGCAGAUAUCAGGAGGAACACCGAUGGCGAAGGCAGGUCUCUGGGCCAUUACUGACGCUGAGAAGCGAAAGCGUGGGGAGCGAACAGGAUUAGAUACCCUGGUAGUCCACGCCGUAAACGUUGGGCGCUAGGUGUGGGUCCCAUUCCACGGGGUCCGUGCCGCAGCUAACGCAUUAAGCGCCCCGCCUGGGGAGUACGGCCGCAAGGCUAAAACUCAAAGGAAUUGACGGGGGCCCGCACAAGCGGCGGAGCAUGCGGAUUAAUUCGAUGCAACGCGAAGAACCUUACCAAGGCUUGACAUAUACCGGAAACUCUCAGAGAUGGGGGCCCCGCAAGGUCGGUAUACAGGUGGUGCAUGGUUGCCGUCAGCUCGUGUCGUGAGAUGUUGGGUUAAGUCCCGCAACGAGCGCAACCCUCGUUCUAUGUUGCCAGCACGUGAUGGUGGGGACUCAUAGGAGACUGCCGGGGUCAACUCGGAGGAAGGUGGGGAUGACGUCAAAUCAUCAUGCCCCUUACGUCUUGGGCUUCACGCAUGCUACAAUGGCCGGUACAGAGGGCUGCGAAACCGUGAGGUGGAGCGAAUCCCUUAAAGCUGGUCUCAGUUCGGAUUGGGGUCUGCAACUCGACCCCAUGAAGUCGGAGUCGCUAGUAAUCGCAGAUCAGCAACGC